rnacentral:lncRNA from 1 species
GGUUUCCUCUCUCUGUUUCUCUCUCUAAAAAUGGAUCGUAAAAGCGUGUUUACUGUAGCAUUAAUGUGUGUCAUUGUCGCUGGUGUCGGUGGCCAAGCUCCCACGUCGGCUCCUACUGCUACUCCGGUGACCCCUGAAGCGCCUGUUGCUGCACCAGCUAAGGCUCCUGCAAAACCUAAAUCACCUGCUCCAGUUACCGCUCCUGUAUCUUCACCACCGGCUGCUUCACCUACUAAACAAACCGUGCCAGCUCCGGCUCAGACUCCAUUGGCUACACCACCACCUGCCGCCGCUCCUGUUAGCUCGCCACCUGCCGUCACUCCGGUUAGCUCGCCACCUGCUCCAGUUCCCGUGAGCUCUCCGCCAGCUAAAUCUCCAGCCAAAUCUCCUCCUGCACCUGCACCAGUUACUCCACCAACAAGCUCCCCUCCUGAAACUGCUCCUUCUGUUCCGGUGGUUGCACCUACAGCAGAGGUUCCUGCACCGACUCCAAGCAAAAAGAAGCCGAAGAAGAAGCACA